rnacentral:tRNA from 1 species
GCCUGGCUGGCUCAGCCGGUGAAGCGUCCGACUUCGGCUCAGGUCAUGACCUCGCAGUUCGUGAGUUCGAGCCCCACGCUGGGCU